UGACCUCAAAUCAGGUAGGAUUACCCGCUGAACUUAAGCAUAUCAAUAAGCGGAGGAAAAGAAACCAACUGGGAUUACCUUAGUAACGGCGAGUGAAGCGGUAAAAGCUCAAAUUUGAAAUCUGGUACUUUCAGUGCCCGAGUUGUAAUUUGUAGAAUUUGUCUUUGAUUAGGUCCUUGUCUAUGUUCCUUGGAACAGGACGUCAUAGAGGGUGAGAAUCCCGUUUGGCGAGGAUACCUUUUCUCUGUAAGACUUUUUCGAAGAGUCGAGUUGUUUGGGAAUGCAGCUCAAAGUGGGUGGUAAAAUUCCAUCUAAAGCUAAAUAUUGGCGAGAGACCGAUAGCGAACAAGUACAGUGAUGGAAAGAUGAAAAGAACUUUGAAAAGAGAGUGAAAAAGUACGUGAAAUUGUUGAAAGGGAAGGGCAUUUGAUCAGACAUGGUGUUUUUUGCAUGCACUCGCCUCUCGUGGGCUUGGGCCUCUCAAAAAUUUCACUGGGCCAACAUCAAUUCUGGCAGCAGGAUAAAUCAUUAAGAAUGUAGC
rnacentral:ncRNA from 1 species